AUAUCAAUAAGCGGAGGAAAAGAAACCAACAGGGAUUAGCCUCAGUAACGGCGAGUGAAGCGGUAACAGCUCAAAUUUGAAAUCUGGCUUCCGGGGUCCGAGUUGUAAUUUGUAGAAGAUGCUUCGGGUGUGGCUCCGGUCUAAGUUCCUUGGAACAGGACGUCAUAGAGGGUGAGAAUCCCGUAUGUGACUGGCCGCCUUCGCCCGUGUAAAGCUCUUUCGACGAGUCGAGUUGUUUGGGAAUGCAGCUCAAAAUGGGUGGUAUAUUUCAUCUAAAGCUAAAUAUUGGCCAGAGACCGAUAGCGCACAAGUAGAGUGAUCGAAAGAUGAAAAGCACCUUGGAAAAGAGAGUCAAACAGUAC
rnacentral:rRNA from 1 species